UGCACAUGCUGUGAGCUCGAUGAGUAGGGCGGGACACGUGGUAUCCUGUCUGAAUAUGGGGGGACCAUCCUCCAAGGCUAAAUACUCCUGACUGACCGAUAGUGAACCAGUACCGUGAGGGAAAGGCGAAAAGAACCCCGGCGAGGGGAGUGAAAAAGAACCUGAAACCGUGUACGUACAAGCAGUGGGAGCACGCUUAGGCGUGUGACUGCGUACCUUUUGUAUAAUGGGUCAGCGACUUAUAUUCUGUAGCAAGGUUAACCGAAUAGGGGAGCCGAAGGGAAACCGAGUCUUAACUGGGCGUUAAGUUGCAGGGUAUAGACCCGAAACCCGGUGAUCUAGCCAUGGGCAGGUUGAAGGUUGGGUAACACUAACUGGAGGACCGAACCGACUAAUGUUGAAAAAUUAGCGGAUGACUUGUGGCUGGGGGUGAAAGGCCAAUCAAACCGGGAGAUAGCUGGUUCUC
rnacentral:rRNA from 1 species